rnacentral:rRNA from 1 species
UACGGAGGGUGCAAGCGUUAUCCGGAUUCACUGGGUUUAAAGGGUGCGUAGGUGGGUUGGUAAGUCAGUGGUGAAAUCUCCGAGCUUAACUUGGAAAACUGCCAUUGAUACUAUCAGUCUUGAAUACCGUGGAGGUCAGCGGAAUAUGUCAUGUAGCGGUGAAAUGCUUAGAUAUGACAUAGAACACCUAUUGCGAAGGCAGCAGGCUAAACGAACAUUGACGCUGAGGCACGAAAGCGUGGGGAUCAAACAGG